CCGGAUUUACUGGGCGUAAAGAGCGCGCAGGCGGUCGUUCAAGUCGCGUGUGAAAGCCCCCGGCUCAACUGGGGAGGGUCACGCGAUACUGAUCGACUCGAAGGCAGGAGAGGGAAGUGGAAUUCCCGGUGUAGUGGUGAAAUGCGUAGAUAUCGGGAGGAACACCAGUGGCGAAGGCGACUUCCUGGCCUGUUCUUGACGCUGAGGCGCGAAAGCUAGGGGAGCAAACGGG
rnacentral:rRNA from 1 species